rnacentral:lncRNA from 1 species
GAAGAACUUACAUGGUAGCCUAAGGCGAAGGCGUGCGGUUGCUGAUUGAUUAGCCUCUUCUUGCUUUCCCUUCGUCUAGUCUUUUCUUUCUUGUUCUCUGGCUUUCUUUUGAUUUUGCUGCUGGUGUGGUUCGUUUGUCAGUUCUCCUUGAUUCCCUGUCUCCCUCUGUUUUCUUCUCCUCUGCUCGCUUUCCUCUCUGUUUUCCUUUUUUU